rnacentral:misc_RNA from 1 species
GAUUGGGGUAGAGUAGACGCUGGAGAGGGCACAAACUAGAGGAGCUGAACAUGUUAACUCAUGUGCUGGGAAGAUGGUCUCAGUCCAGCUCCACCAUGCCACCCCACCCCCUCCCCACCCCAUUCCAGCUCUUCAUUUUAGUUCACACUUCACCGUAAGGAUGCUUGGAUUUGGCCAAUUCUAUCCAUGGUUCAGGUCACUUCCUGACAGUAGCUGUAGGAGUGGACCUUGUUUUCCCUAGUCCCUUCCCUCAGGCCCCUUCCCUCAGGCCCCUUCCCUAAGGCCCACGGUGUUGUUGAAAAGGAGACAGCAGUCAGUGAAUCUCGUGUCAAGCUUUAUUUGGCAGGUGGCUUUGCUCAGUACUCAGAUCUCGUGGCUCCUUGGCAGCUCAGGGCUCAGACAUCGACAUGGAAUGGUGGUGUGGCCUCACAUGAUGUUGCUUGGGCAGCAGCGAACCAUGGUGCCAGGAGAUCAGGAGGUUCUGGAUUGAGGCUGCAGCUGACCUGGAUUGGAGGAGGAGGGACGAAAGCCUGCCCACCUGCUCUUGGUGGUGAUGAUGGUCUGGUGUUUGGGGCUCUCAGAGGGCUCAUAUAUAAAGGCAGACAGAAGACUGGCAUCCUCAGGCAGCUUGGAGGAUGCUCCCCACAGUUCCAACAAGGCCACACCCUGGCCAAACAUUGAAACCACCAUACCCAGCUUCUCCAAGAGACUCAGGCUCCUGUUUUUCAUCGGACGGUGGCAUUUUUCAAGAUGUGGCGAGAUGCUCUUGAAGUCUGGUAAAAUUCUCACGCAGGAGUUUUGAUGGACUUGCUAUUCUGUGCAUCUAGUAUUUUUUACACCUUAUGGUGUAUGAGCGGCGGCGACGGCAGCAUCCUAGAAAGCAUCGCCUCCUCCGUCUGCGACAUCUUCGCCUGCGACGGCGGCAUCUGCUCCUGCUUUUGCUGCGGCAGCAUCGGUAUCUGGCCAUGGUGCUGGCUUGGCCGGGAGCUGGCUCAGAGCAGGGGACACCACCUGGGUCGAGCCAGCCAACCUGUGAGCAGGCACCUUCUUGACAGCUGCUUCUUGGUGUUUCUGAAGUGUCUAAAGAUGCAGAGGGGACUGCGAAGCGGGAGUGAGUAGAUAUGUGCGGAUGUGAAAAGUGCCCAGUAUGGAGAAGGCCUCAAACAAACAGCACCUUUCCCAUCAAAAAAAAAAAAAAAAAAAAAAAAAAAAAAAA